rnacentral:snoRNA from 1 species
GCAUGGGCUUGGACUCAUGGCAGGCCCGUCCCCUGGGUCUCAUCGUGCCCCGUGCCAGAGCCAACUGGCCUGGAACCACUGCCCAGCUCUGCCAGUGGGCUGCAGGCACUGAAACGGGUUACACAGUG